AAUCGCAGCACUAGUUCUGUUCCAACCUCAGUGAAGCCUGUAAACAAACCAAGGAAUCCCGUGUAGGCAGAGUGAUGGCUUGCACCUUGUUUUUUAUCCUUCGAGCACGUCUUGAACUGAAGCUUCUGCACUAUUCGUGGUUAACAGGGAAACAUUAGGCGAAAGCGUUUCACAGACGACAUAAAGUGUAAAGUGGAAAUUGUGAGAAAGGGUGGAAAGAAAGUGAUGCCUGGCAAACUGCAGUCUGAACUUCAGAAAAGCAAGAACAAGAAUAUGAAGAAGAAACAGAAAGAAUCAAAAUCCAAAGGGUCAGGAGAUACAAACACACUGAAACCUGUCAGAUGCAACAGCAUGGACCUUCCGAGAACGACUUUCUCUCAUGAUCCAGUCAGAGCUGUAGAAUCUCGUUCUGAUGUACCAGAAGGUCCAGGAUGAGAAAACAGCCGGACCUUUAUCUACAGUAUCUGAUGGGGGAUCAGUCACCAGCUUGCCAAAUUUCUACAUAUUACAGUUGUUUCCUCCAUGCCUCCCACUUUAUUGCCUGCACUUUAUAUUUAUGGCCGAGCUUCUGUUUUUAUUUUCUGAAAACAAGUGUUGUCAGAAAAUGUUUUUUUCUUGUAAAUUUUACAUAAUGUGAAACUAACGCCAUUUGAAUCAUAUUUGUAAUGGAAGAAAAUACACUACAUGAAAAAUGA